rnacentral:tRNA from 1 species
UGUCCAAUGUGGGAAUCGAACCCACGUCCUAGUGGUCGAAAACCAAAUGGUUUAACCAGCCUUCCACCGAC